UAACAACUAAGUCCAAAACUAGUCGGGGCUGUUUUCCCGCGCUAAACGCGUCUUGGCGCGAGGUCGUGCGGCGCUCUAGCGCCAGAUGCCGCCGGGAGCUCACAGGGGUCGGUUGCUCUGCGAACGCAGAGCCUACAGUUUUCAUGACACUUUCCGGUUCAACGCAAUAGUCGGUCGUAUCUGAGAACCUUCUCGCCCACGGUGUCCACCAUGUAGAGCACUUUCUCGCUGGAGCUCCAGUGAGGUCCCUCCCCGCACUUCAACGCAGGGGUGACAACUUCCGUUUUCACAUCUCGAGCAACGGAACCGGCUUUCACUUGAAAAUGGAAAUGAAGAGAUUAAUUAAUCUUCCCACAGAAUGCAUGUGCCCUAGCAAUUAUAUUACAACACAAGAUACCACUUAUAACUUGAUGGUAAUGUUAAAACUUUUAGGUAACUAAAAAGAACCACUUAUGUAAGAUAUUUUAUGUACAUUAUUUGUAAUUAAUGUUAAUUAUUAUAUAUUCCUUUCGUAUUUGAA